rnacentral:tRNA from 1 species
GGUCCGGUGGCCAAGGCGAUAACGGCGCCAAUCUUCUAACUGCAGGACUGGGGUUCAAAUCCCAACCGUACCG